AAAACAGCCCUACGGGAGGCAGCAGUGGGGAAUAUCGGACAAUGGGGGAAACCCUGAUCCAGCCGUGCCGCGUGAGUGAAGAAGGCCUUCGGGUUGUAAAGCUCUUUCGACGGGGAAGAUGAUGACGGUACCCGUAUAAGAAGCCCCGGCUAACUUCGUGCCAGCAGCCGCGGUAAUACGAAGGGGGCUAGCGUUGUUCGGAAUUACUGGGCGUAAAGCGCGCGUAGGCGGUGAUCUUUGUCAGAGGUGAAAGCCCGGAGCUCAACUCCGGAAUUGCCUUUGAAACGGGAUCGCUUGAGUCCGAGAGAGGAUGGCGGAAUUCCUAGUGUAGAGGUGAAAU
rnacentral:rRNA from 1 species